ACCGACCGGUGACCACGCAUAGGACGUGAUUCGGUGUCAACUUUUGUGAAUUUAUCAAAUUGCACCAAUCCCGGCCUGCAUGCGGUCACCCGUCUCCAGAAGCAGCUGCGCACGUGGCACUGGCAUCCAGCAGUCACAACUCCGACCCGCAGGUCAAGACGCCGGAACAAACAGAAGGUCAAUGAAGACGGACCGAUUGUUUUUUAUAAAAGAGGAGGACAAACUGCCGCACACAUUCUCUUCCAACACCAGAGCAAUCACAGGAGCAUUGCCGCCCUUCGAGGAAUGCGCUUGUUUUGAAGGUCCUAUUACAAAAGGGAUUGUGCUGUCGACUGCUGCAGUCAACAGGUCGACGUGCUACUAGUAGCCCGUACCCACUGAAAAGCAGUGUUGCAAGGUGUUUCGUCUACCCAAGGCUUAGCAGACAUUGAUUUGCCGAAUGCUGAAACGAAACUGAACACGUGUCGACUCUAUCGGAAACAAAUCUUAGCCAACAUCAAGAGAAACUCAAAACAUUUGAAGACUGUUAUAAUUAAUUGUGUUAAAUGUAUCAUAAUAAUAUGUCAUUAAUUAAUCUUAUGCCAACUAACUGCUCGCACAUAAAUGUGACAGGUUUUGCGAGUACCUACAUAUUAUGUUUUCCUUGUAAUGUCUAAGAGAUUAAUUAAGUUCAUUAAAUGAAAUAAAAUAACUAGAAUUUGGUUUGAAGAAGAUAAGUACCACUCAUAUUAUCUAUUAUGACAUCCUCUCCUCCUCCCUGCGUCGUAAUCCUCAGUACUGAGGGUCGUGACCACCCCUCUGUAUCACUUUCUCACGUAUGAUCGCUCUCCAUCUAUUCCUGUCUCUGGCGGUGUGAAAGGCAUUGUGAACCGUAGAGUCGAGGGCAGAGCGGAUCUGGUCUUCCCAUCUAUUUUUCCGACCAAUAUGAGCCUCUCAAGGUUUCCAUGGUCUUUAUGACAUACCUGGUAAAUAAAAGUUUAAGUAGGCCUUUCAGUAUCUACACGGUAACAGCAGAAUAGAACCGACGAAACAUUGUUCUAUAUAAAGCGAAGCGCAAAUGCUUAUGAUAAUAUUGAUUGUGUCUUGUAUCACUGAAUAUUUAUAAGAGUUGACGUCAAUACAUAUAAAUAAAGAGGAAGAUUGGAUCUAUAUUACCUGCGUGGCUUAGCUCGGUGACAUUAUUAAUUUGUUCAUUUCAUAUACAGUAAUGUUGCAGUGCACCAUGCAGCGUAGCGAAACUAAGGAAAAAGCGAUUCACUCGAUUGUAUGAAACGCGCAGUCAUUGAUAGAUUGACAGAUGACGGCUAUAAUCUUGUAAAAAACGGAGAUAACCGAAAUCCACUAUGUUUUAAACAACUGUUCGCUUUCUAACUUAGCCGGAUUAUAUUUCGUCGCCAAUCGCCAUACUGUAAUUACUACUAUUUCAAACUUAUGUCAAAUCUCUGCACGUUUCAUACUAAACUAAAUUUCAAGUUCUAGUAUUCCUGGCCUGUUUUUAUCGGUUAUCUAACAGCAAGAGACUAUCUAGACGUAUUUAUACGUCUAAGAUUUAUAACUUUUGUACAAAAACGAAACUCACCGACAUACUGAAAAGAAUAGAUCAACAGAAAUGUAGGUUGGCAGGGUAUUUGAUGCCAGACACAGAAGGUAAACCAAUGGUAUCCAUGGGAUGGCAAGCGAAACGGAGGUAGGCAGUUUACCAGAUGGGAUGAUGAAAUUAAGUUAACCGUGGGUCCAAUCUGGAGGAGGGUCACACGAUAUAGGACGCAAUGGAUAUAUUUAGAGGCACUAUCUACUAAUAUCUGGUAAAUUUAGACUAAAAAUUAUUGAAUGUACCCAUUUAGUUUCGGCAUUAAAAAGCUGAUUAUAAUUAGUUCGUAUUUAAAAGUCAAGGUGUUAUGAAAACACAAAAUUGAACUAUCUGUCGAACAGAAUAUCAACACUCGAAUUUUAUCCUAUUUCCAUAAAAAAUAUUAUUUUACCAUUAUUUGAUUUAACCGUUGGUAUUAUAAGAUUUUUUGAAUUUUUCGUUCGCAAUUAUAAAUAAUCGGUUAGUUUUUUACUUUGCCCGUGUAGGUAAUGGACAGCUAUUGACUUUUGUACUAUUA